CCUACGGGAUGCUGCAGUGGGGAAUAUUGCACAAUGGGGGAAACCCUGAUGCAGCGACGGCGCGUGAGUGAAGAAGUAUUUCGGUACGUAAAGCUCUAUCAGCAGGGAAGAAAAUGACGGUACCUGACUACGAAGCCCCGGCUCACUACGUGCCCGCAGCCGCGGUACUACGUAGGGGGCAAGCGUUAUCCGGAUUUACUGGGUGUAAAGGGAGCGUAGACGGCAGCGCAAGUUUGGAGUGAAAUCCCAUGGCUUAACCAUGGAACUGCUUUGGAAACUGUGCAGCUAGAGUGCAGGAGAGGUAAGCGGAAGUCCUAGUGUAGCGGUGAAAUGCGUAGAUAUUAGGAGGAACACCAGUGGCGAAGGCGGCUUACUGGACUGUAACUGACGUUGAGGCUCGAAAGCGUGGGGAGCAAACAGGAUUAGAUACCCUAGUAGUC
rnacentral:rRNA from 1 species